rnacentral:rRNA from 1 species
AUUGAACGCUGGCGGCAUGCUUUACACAUGCAAGUCGAACGGUAACAGGCCGCAAGGUGCUGACGAGUGGCGAACGGGUGAGUAAUGCAUCGGAACGUGCCCAGUCGUGGGGGAUAACUACUCGAAAGAGUAGCUAAUACCGCAUACGAUCUAUGGAUGACAGCGGGGGACCGUACGGCCUCGCGCGAUUGGAGCUGCCGAUGUCAGAUUAUGUAGUUGGUGGGGUAAAGGCUCACCAAGCCAACGAUCUGUAGCUGGUCUGAGAGGACGACCAGCCACACUGGGACUGAGGCACGGCCCAGACUCCUACGGGAGGCAGCAGUGGGGAAUUUUGGACAAUGGGCGCAAGCCUGAUCCAGCAAUGCCGCGUGCAGGAAGAAGGCCUUCGGGUUGUAAACUGCUUUUGUACGGAACGAAACGGCUCUGGUUAAUACCCGGGGCUAAUGACGGUACCGGAAGAAUAAGCACCGGCUAACUACGUG